GACGAACGCUGGCGGCGUGCUUAACACAUGCAAGUCGAACGGAAAGGCCCUUCGGGGUACUCGAGUGGCGAACGGGUGAGUAACACGUGGGUGAUCUGCCCUGCACUUUGGGAUAAGCCUGGGAAACUGGGUCUAAUACCGGAUAGGACUACGCGAUGCAUGUCGUGUGGUGGAAAGCUUUUGCGGUGUGGGAUGGGCCCGCGGCCUAUCAGCUUGUUGGUGGGGUGAUGGCCUACCAAGGCCACGACGGGUGGCCGGCCUGAGAGGGUGUCCGGGCACACUGGGACUGAGAUACGGCCCAGACUCCUACGGGAGGCAGGAGUGGGGAAUAGUGCACAAUGGGCGCAAGACUGAUGCAGGGACGCCGGGUGGGGGAUGAAGGCCUUCGGGUUGUAAACCUGUGUCAAUAGGGACGAAGAGCGAGUGACGGUACCUAUAGAAGAAGCACCGGCCAACUACGUGCCAGAAGCCGCAGUAAAAC
rnacentral:rRNA from 1 species